AACCCAUGGUGAGGGCUCCUUCUCAGAAGAUCAUUGUAUCUCUCCCAUGCAUCAUAGAGUGUUUCUAGAUCCAUCCGCACAAAAGAAGAGAUGUUAUUCCUCAACUU
rfam:Gossypium arboreum cultivar AKA8401 contig_49763_3, whole genome shotgun sequence.